CAUGCGUAUCGUGUGGCAAGAGGCUAGUAAUUACUUAAAUUUAAGGCAAUUAUUACAUCAAAGAGAAGAAAAUUACUUUAAAAAGGGAACAAAGGAGUAGAACCCCGUAGAGCUAGCGAAGAAUAGAAGACAAAACAUGAAGUCAAGCAGUCUCGUACCCAUGAAUACAAGGCUCUUUUGGAUUCAUAUAUUUUGUUGCUGCUUUCUCACCUUCGCUUAAGUCCAUCUCAUUAGAAAGUGAUUUUUUUUUUUUUACUUUCGUUUUAGUCUCUGUAGACCUUGUAAAGGUAAAACAUGAAAAGAAAAGAAUAUCUAGAAUGGUUUUUUUUUUUUUUUGGAACAAACCAUAUUAUCUACGUUAAGGGGGAGGGGGUGAGUUUAGCCUCACAAUGAGUUAGCAAUAAUGUGAUUCAAAGUGGCAAUAUCUAGUAUGAUUUUAACAAUCUUUUAUUAUUUUUUCAUUUGAAUGCACUAUCUUUUGAUUCUUUUGUCAAAAGUGGAAGUUUCUUCCCCAUGUAAAGGAGCUUCAACCGAAAUAUUCCUCUUCGCAUAAGGGACAUCGUUGUAAAUCCCACUUUGUCAUGUAUUUUGAAAAAAAAAAAAAAAAAAAGAACAAAAAAGAACUUUCAUGCAUGAUAUCUACCAAAAUUUGGUUCCCACUUGGUAUGACGAAAUCCAGGAUUCAAAUCUGACAAAUGUAAGAAUGAUAUAUAUGUAUUUUUGUUUAAAAUUCUUAAUCCUGAACUGAAAUACAAUCAAUUAUUGUUCUUUUGGUUAAUUUUGACUGUAGAAAAUAGGGUGGCGGCACAGGCGUUAGACUUAUGUGACAAGAGAAGGAACUCAAAGUGGAAUUGGAAAAUUUGUUGGACCAAACACCAGGAGAGCACGUGCUAUAACGAUUGCAGAGGAUUCGGUUUUCUCUCGGGCGGCUGCAUAUGAGAUUUGUCGUGUAUGUGCUAUUGGAAUGCGAUGAUCCAAAGUGCGGUGGUCCGGACCAUA
rnacentral:lncRNA from 1 species